rnacentral:rRNA from 1 species
CUACGGGGUGCUGCAGUGAGGAAUAUUGCACAAUGGGGGGAACCCUGAUGCAGCAACGCCGCGUGGAGGAUGACGCAUUUCGGUGUGUAAACUCCUUUUAUAUGUCAAGAAAAUGACGGUAGCAUAUGAAUAAGCACCGGCUAACUCCGUGCCAGCAGCCGCGGUAAUACGGAGGGUGCAAGCGUUACUCGGAAUCACUGGGCGUAAAGGACGCGUAGGGGGGUUGGAAAGUCAGGUGUGAAAUCCUACAGCUUAACUGUAGAACUGCACUUGAAACUUCUAAUCUAGAGUAGGGGAGGGGGAGAUGGAAUUAGUGGUGUAGGGGUAAAAUCCGUAGAUAUCACUAGGAAUACCUAAAGCGAAGGCGAUCCCCUGGAACAUUACUGACGCUAAGGCGUGAAAGCGUGGGGAGCAAACAGGAUUAGUACCCUAGUAGUC